rnacentral:misc_RNA from 1 species
GGUUGGAUCAUUACUAAAUGAUUUUCACUAGGCUUCUGAACUCGCAAGAGAUCGAGCCUAGUGUCUUUACACCCUGUGAACUUUAUCGUUUUUCGAGUGAGCUUUCGAUAGGGAUUUCCCUAGAGAUAUGCUUGCUCGGCCGUAACAAACCCCUUUUAAACUUGACUGAAUUUUUUAUUAUAUAAAAGAUAAACAACUUUUGACAACGGAUCUCUUGGCUCUCGCAACGAUGAAGAACGCAGCGAAAUGCGAUACGUAAUGUGAAUUGCAGAAUUCCGUGAAUCAUCAAAUCUUUGAACGCACAUUGCACUCAAUUUCGGUUGAGUAUGCCUGUUUGAGAAUCUAUAGUAUUUAUUUCCCAUUUUUGACUUUUACUAGUCUAAUUUGGGGAGACUUGGAGUUUCUGCCUAGGCAGUACUUUUAAAACUAUAGUUGACUCUGUGUCUCUAGCAACGGUUUAGAAUAGUGUCUGACACUUUUGCGACUGCUGCCGGAAAUACUCUUAGUAGUCGGCCUCUGACUUUUACUACGGUAAAGGUCUAUAAAACUCGCAGAGUUUUGAACCAUGGUCUCAAAUCAGGUAGGAAGACCCGCUGAACUUAAGCAUAUCAAUAAGCGGAGGAAAAGAAACUAACAAGGAUUCCCCUAGUAACGGCGAGUGAAGCGGGAACAGCUCAAAUUUGAAAUCUCACUGUUUCACAGUGCGAAUUGUAGUUUAGAGAAACGUUUUCUAGGCAGUCUUCUAGUACAAGUUCUUUGGAACGAGACAUCACAGAGGGUGAAAAUCCCGUCUAUGACUAGAGGUUCUGUCUUUUAUGAUACGUUUUCCAAGAGUCGGUUUGUUUGGGAAUGCAGACCAAAAUGGGUGGUAAAUACCAUCUAAAGCUAAAUAUUGGCGAGAGACCGAUAGCGAACAAGUACCGUGAGGGAAAGAUGAAAAGAACUUUGAAAAGAGAGUUAAACAGUACGUGAAAUUGUCAAAAGGGAAACGCUUGAAACCAGUAUUGUGGGCAGAAAUUCAGCUUUAGUUUACUAGAGUGUAUUUUUCUGUCUGCGAGUCAACAUCAGUUUUGAUUCAAGUAAAAAGCUAUGGGAAGGUAGCCUUCGGGUGUUAUAGCCUAUAGUCAUGCUUGGGCCGAGACUGAGGACUGCAGCGUUUUUUGGGUACCCCGUCGCCUUUUGAAGUAGCAAAGUUAAAUGCAUGCAGAUAACUUUGUCUAUCAGAAAGCCCGGCGGGUUUUCUACACCAACGCUUAGGAUGUUGACGAAAUGGUUUUAAGCGACCCGUCUUGAAACACGGACCAAGGAGUCUAACAUAUAUGCGAGUAUUUGGGUGGUAAACCCUUAUGCGUAGUGAAAGCGAAAGGUGGGAUUCUUUAUUGAUGCACCAUCGGCCGCGCCAGAUUAUUACUAUCUCGGCGUGAGUAUGAGCAUACAUGUUGGGACCCGAAAGAUGGUGAACUAUGCCUGAAUAGGGUGAAGCCAGAGGAAACUCUGGUGGAGGCUCGUAGCGGUUCUGACGUGCAAAUCGAUCGUCGAAUUUGGGUAUAGGGGCGAAAGACUAAUCGAACCAUCUAGUAGCUGGUUCCCUC